rnacentral:rRNA from 1 species
UACGUAGGGUGCAAGCGUUAAUCGGAAUUACUGGGCGUAAAGCGUGCGCAGGCGGUUUUGUAAGUUUGUCGUGAAAGCCCCGGGCUCAACCUGGGAAUUGCGAUGAAGACUGCAAGGCUUGAAUCUGGCAGAGGGGGGUAGAAUUCCACGUGUAGCAGUGAAAUGCGUAGAGAUGUGGAGGAACACCGAUGGCGAAGGCAGCCCCCUGGGUCAAGCACUGACGCUCAUGCACGAAAGCGUGGGGAGCAAACAGG